UAUGACGGGUAUCCGGCCUGAGAGGGUGAUCGGACACACUGGAACUGAGACACGGUCCAGACUCCUACGGGAGGCAGCAGUAGGGAAUAUUGCUCAAUGGGCGAAAGCCUGAAGCAGCAACGCCGCGUGGAGGAUGAAGGUUUUAGGAUUGUAAACUCCUUUUGUUAGAGAAGAUAGUGACGGUAUCUAACGAAUAAGCACCGGCUAACUCCGUGCCAGCAGCCGCGGUAAUACGGAGGGUGCAAGCGUUACUCGGAAUCACUGGGCGUAAAGAGUGCGUAGGCGGGAAGGUAAGUCAGAUGUGAAAUCCUGUAGCUUAACUACAGAACUGCAUUUGAAACUACUUUUCUAGAGUGUGGGAGAGGUAGGUGGAAU
rnacentral:rRNA from 1 species